CUGGUACAAUGCGAAGCGAAGCAGUGAUGUGAAGCAAAUCGCGCCAAAGCCAGUCCCAGUUCGGAUAAGAGGCUGAAACUCGCCUCUUUGAAGUCGGAAUCGCUAGUAAUCGCAGAUCAGCAUGUUGCGGUGAAUACGUUCCCGGGUCUUGUACACACCGCCCGUCAAACCAUGAGAGUCACCAACACCCGAAGUCCGCCUUGGCGGCCUAAGGUGGGGGAGAUGAUUGGGGUUAAGUCGUAACAAGGUAAC
rnacentral:rRNA from 1 species